GACGUAGGGCGCGAGCGUUGUCCGGAUUUAUUGGGCGUAAAGAGCUCGUAGGCGGCUUGCCGCGUCGACUGUGAAAUCCCGCGGCUCAACUGCGGGUCUGCAGUCGAUACGGGCAGGCUAGAGUUCGGUAGGGGAGACUGGAAUUCCUGGUGUAGCGGUGAAAUGCGCAGAUAUCAGGAGGAACACCGAUGGCGAAGGCAGGUCUCUGGGCAUUAACUGACGCUGAGGAGCGAAAGCAUGGGGAGCGAACAGG
rnacentral:rRNA from 1 species